GGGCUCGAUGGAGCGCGCGUACGUGUUCUCCCCUCUCCCUCGUGAAGGCCGGUGAGGCGACAGCGAGAGAAUUCAUUAACUAGGUCGUUUUCUCCAUUGAAUUCCGUCUCAUCCCGGCAACAGGGCGCAGCUGCCCGCCUGCCCGUGACGUGCGCACAGGAUCCAGUCUUUUCCCCCGGAUCAGGGAUACAAAAAUGCUACACUUACGGGCACUUUGGCCUGUCAUGGAUAUCUUGCGUGUGCUCGUCUCGGUUUUAAUUCAGUUUUAGUCGCCGCCUGGCUUGCUGGUCCAUGCACGGAAGCUGUUGGAUCGUUGAACCUUCUUCUUCUUCUUCUUCUUCUUCUUCUUCUUCUUCUUCUUCUUCUUCUUCUUCUUCUUCUUGGUUGUGGCAGGGGAGAGGAGAGCAGAGAGAGGCAGGCGCGCGAUGUCAAUGCCGUGGGCGAUGACCGUGUCCGUCGUGGACAUGGUGUGGGAGGUCCUGGUGGUGUGGGUGUCGUCCUGCCUCGCCGGCGCCACCGCCGUCGCGCGCGCCUUCCGGACAGGGGACCUCGUCGGAUCCUUCCGGCCCGGCAUCUGACGCUCCUCGCUGUCUCCCUUCCUGCAGAUCCAUCGCUCCCUCCCGUCGCUGCGGUGCUGCUUCCGUCGGCGAUCAAGCGCGUAGCUCUCGAUCCGUCAGGUCGCUGCAACAGCAUCAUUGUUUUUGUUUAGUAUAGUUUUGUGUGUGUCUAUUAUAUCACGCGGUGGCAGUGUAACAUUGGAAGACAUUCUUCUUCUUCUUCUUCUAUUUCUAUUCUUUCAUUGAUGUACAUACAUAACAAUUAAUAAUACUGGUGGUGAUGUUGGAAAUUAGUGGAAUGGUUCAAUGAUUAA